GAUGAACGCUGGCGGCGUGCCUAAUACAUGCAAGUCGAGCGAAUGGAUUAAGAGCUUGCUCUUAUGAAGUUAGCGGCGGACGGGUGAGUAACACGUGGGUAACCUGCCCAUAAGACUGGGAUAACUCCGGGAAACCGGGGCUAAUACCGGAUAACAUUUUGAACCGCAUGGUUCGAAAUUGAAAGGCGGCUUCGGCUGUCACUUAUGGAUGGACCCGCGUCGCAUUAGCUAGUUGUUGAGGUAAAGGCUAAACAAGGCAACGAUGCGUAGCCGACCUGAGAGGGUGAACGGCCACACUGGGACUGAGACACGGCCCAGACUCCUACGGGAGGCAGCAGUAGGGAAUCUUCCGCAAUGGACGAAAGUCUGACGGAGCAACGCCGCGUGAGUGAUGAAGGCUUUCGGGUCGUAAAACUCUGUUGUUAGGGAAGAACAAGUGCUAGUUGAAUAAGCUGGCACCUUGACGGUACCUAACCAGAAAGCCACGGCUAACUACGUGCCAGCCGCCGCCGUAA
rnacentral:rRNA from 1 species